UGGGGAAUAUUGGGCAAUGGGCGCAAGCCUGACCCAGCAACGCCGCGUGAAGGAAGAAGGCUUUCGGGUUGUAAACUUCUUUUAUCAGGGACGAAACAAAUGACGGUACCUGAUGAAUAAGCCACGGCUAACUACGUGCCAGCAGCCGCGGUAAUACGUAGGUGGCAAGCGUUAUCCGGAUUUACUGGGUGUAAAGGGCGUGUAGGCGGGCUUGCAAGUCAGAUGUGAAAACUAUGGGCUCAACCCAUAGCCUGCAUUUGAAACUGUAGGUCUUGAGUGCUGGAGAGGCAAUCGGAAUUCCGUGUGUAGCGGUGAAAUGCGUAGAUAUACGGAGGAACACCAGUGGCGAAGGCGGAUUGCUGGACAGUAACUGACGCUGAGGCGCGAAAGCGUGGGGAGCAAACAGGAUUAGAUACCC
rnacentral:rRNA from 1 species